AAAGUAUGGUGAGGGCAUUUUCUAAGCAUUUUCUUAAAUCCUUCCAAACUCUCCAAAAUGAAUUAUCCUUCAAACUAGGAAAAAGAAGUAAUGACAUUUCUAAGUUU